GGCUCUUGGAGAGUGCCGGCCUCCAGGCUGGGCUGUGAGGACAAAGCGGAGGAGGCAGAACUGGUUUGGACAGGUGGGGCCUGAGAGUGUGGGCUGAGGGGCUGGUCCUCCACAGGGGAAGGGAAGCCACUUCUGAGAUGGGGAAGGAGCGCUGCAGAUGGGUGCAGGAGAAUGUUGGGGAGCCUGAGAAGGAGACUGAGGGGCCUGCUGUGGACAAGUGGAUGGCCAUGCCCACAGAUGCUGGAGAAUCUCGAAGGUUGAUUGCAGAAAUGGCUCAAUUCUCAACCUCUCACAAUGUGGUCCUGCUGGUCCUCCAUCAAGAGACGACUAUCUCCUCACCCCAGGAGGAUGUCAAGGUAGAGAGAAACCAGAUGACUGGCUCAGGGACGCAUGCAUGCGAGGAUGGACCAUGAGGAAAAUGGGAUCCAGGAUGUGUCAAUUCCAUCUUGCUGCUUUUUGGUCAUUGUCCCAGCUGCUGGAACUGGAACUGGAUGGAGCUUUCCCUCAGCUGUGGGCUUCUGUCUCUUGCUUCCUGUCCUGGGACUUCUCUGGAAUGACCGUUGUCACCUGCUCAAGAUGAAGAUGAGAGGAGCCACUAGUGGUCACACACAAGUUACCCUUAGCUGCAAUCAGUUCGGUAACACAAUUUGUAACAGCUUUUCUUCCUGCUGAGUUCCUUCCUUGGCUCUACAAGAUGGCUGAAAUCUUAACUUCUCAGCAGUUUCUUCCAGGCUUCUUAGCCUCUGGUUGCUAUUUACUAAUUGGUGAAUACCUCAGGAGAAGACAGAAUAUAGGUCUCUUCUCCUUGAGUUCUUGAUCCUUGAAGUUAAGUAGUUCCCCAAUUCCUUCAAACAGAAUAUUUUAAAGGCAUUUAUCUGGCUUUUUCUUGUCUUCAGGGAGAAGUUUUGUAUGAUCUAAGCUAGCUGUCACCUUCAUUAUGACAUCUUUCCUGACACCCUGUAGAAACUGCAACAUAUCACCUCUCCUCCUCUAUUCUGAUACUUUCAUUUAUCUUUUCUGCAUUUAUUUCCUGUACAACAUUCAUCAGUAUUUAUACACCAUAUUUGUUUAUUAUUUAUGUGUAAUCUUCACAAAAUAAAGGCUCAAGAGAGAAAGAAUCUAUAUAUAUUUUUUCUUCCAUUGU